rnacentral:rRNA from 1 species
CUCAGGAUGAACGCUGGCGGCGUGCCUAACACAUGCAAGUCGAACGGAGCGUUUUGGAAAUCNCUUCGGAGAUGGAAUUCUCGACUUAGUGGCGGACGGGUGAGUAACGCGUGAGCAAUCUGCCUUUAAGAGGGGGAUAACAUUCUGAAAAGAAUGCUAAUACCGCAUAAAGUGCACAGUUGGCAUCGACAGUGCACCAAAGGAGUAAUCCGCUGAAAGAUGAGCUCGCGUCCGAUUAGAUAGUUGGCGGGGUAACGGCCCACCAAGUCGACGAUCGGUAGCCGGACUGAGAGGUUGAACGGCCACAUUGGGACUGAGACACGGCCCAGACUCCUACGGGAGGCAGCAGUGGGGAAUAUUGCACAAUGGGCGAAAGCCUGAUGCAGCAACGCCGCGUGAGGGAAGACGGUCUUCGGAUUGUAAACCUUUGUCCUUGGUGACGAAAAGAAUGACGGUAGCCGAGGAGGAAGCCACGGCUAACUACGUG